rnacentral:rRNA from 1 species
AAUGAACGUUGGCGGCGUGGAUUAGGCAUGCAAGUCGAGCGAGAAGAGUUUUGAAGCUUGCUUUAGAACUCGGAAAGCGGCGAAAGGGAGAGUAACGCGUAGUUAUGUACCCAGGGGUUCGGAAUAGCCACGGGAAACUGUGGGUAAUGCCGAAUAACAUCUCCGGAUCAAAGGUGUGAUUCCGCCCUUGGAGCAGACUGCGUCCUACUAGCUAGUUGGCGGGGUAAUGGCCCACCAAGGCAACAAUGGGUAGCGGGUGUGAGAGCAUGACCCGUCUCACUGGGACUGAGACACUGCCCAGACACCUACGGGUGGCUGCAGUCGAGAAUCUUCGGCAAUGGGCGAAAGCCUGACCGAGCGACGCCGCGUGCGGGAUGAAGGCCCUCGGGUUGUAAACCGCUGUCGUAGGGGAGGAAGGCUCCGUGAAGAACGGGGUUUGACCUAUCCUAGGAGGAAGUACGGGCUAAGUUCGUGCCAGCCGCCGCAGUAAAAC